UACGAAGGGGGCUAGCGUUGCUCGGAAUCACUGGGCGUAAAGGGUGCGUAGGCGGGUCUUUAAGUCAGGGGUGAAAUCCUGGAGCUCAACUCCAGAACUGCCUUUGAUACUGAAGAUCUUGAGUUCGGGAGAGGUGAGUGGAACUGCGAGUGUAGAGGUGAAAUUCGUAGAUAUUCGCAAGAACACCAAUGGCGAAGGCGGCUCACUGGCCCGAUACUGACGCUGAUGCACGAAAGCGUGGGGAGCAAACAGG
rnacentral:rRNA from 1 species